GGAAGUUAAGAAACUGUUUUUUAACUUUUAACUAAAAAAGCUAAGAACCAGUUCUUAAAGUCUUUAUUUAAGAACCGGUUCUUAGUUUUUUUAAUUAAAAGUUAAGAAACAGUUUUUUAACUUCC
rfam:Brassica napus, WGS project CCCW01000000 data, contig: 10084